GCUUAAUAAAAGACAUAUUGCCUUAAUGAGGAAGCCAUACACACGCAGACACACACAUAGACACACACAUACACACACAAACACACACACAUGCUUGAUACUCUUUCUAUGAAUUAUGGUGAUGGACGGGGAAAACAAUAUAAGGAAAUAUGCCAGUACUUAAAAGUCACCUGCCACCACAUGGAAAGAAAAUGAAUGAAAGGGACAUUUUGACCUGUUUGAAUCCCUCCCAGGCAUCACAAGAAGUAGGUGGCUCCCAACAUGAACACUAUAUUUUCAACUGUCAGAGCAGUUCAUCACAGCUCACAGAAACUACUGACCACUUUCCUGAUGCUCAGGCCCCUAGUGGGCCUUUUCUCUAGAAUGUCACUACCUGUUACAUUUACUCAGGACCUAACAGAGGGCAGACUAUACGUCUCACUGCAUGUGCAUAUGUGCUUUAACCAGGUGUCCCUCAUCGACCAUCCUUGUCUGGAUUCCAGAAUGGUGUUCUCACAACUCCAUUUUGUCACAUGGUCUCUUGGCCUUUAGAUUUCUUCUUUCCUAGACCAGAUACAUUCCUUGUUCCUUCCACAUCAGCUACCACUCAGUGCUCCCUUAAAGAGACUUACACUUAAAUUUCUGUGUUCAAAAAUUAUAUGCAUUUUCUCCUACAAUAUUCCUAAUGGAACUUUGAAUUAUUUAUACUGAUAUGUUGGUACUUAGCUAUGAGUCUUGAUCAGUCAGGAACCUAGAGAAAAAGAGAUUACAGCUCAGAUGGUUUAAAAGAACUCAUGAGUGGUCAAAUUGAAGAUCUGUAAAUGUCAUAAGUAGAAGCAAAAGGGCAUAGCAAAGGGACUUCCAUAAAUCAGCAGCAGUGAGGACCCAUAUCACCUGUAAGAGAAGAGACAGUUCACAACACAGGAAGCAGGAAAAGCUGGAGAUGGGAGUGAAUUGGAGGCUAGGCAGAGCAGAGACAGUUGCUCUGGCCUGGACAAGAAUAUGGAUGCAGGAAACUCCAGGGAACUGGCAUAUUGAUUUUUAUUUCUGAUCAUUUUUUAUCUCCUCUGCUGGCUUCCAUGAAGCCAACUAGAAGUCCUCUAGUAAGUUAUCUUGAAAAGCAGAUGUUGGUUGUAGACAUCAGAGAAAGUUUAUGGGAAAGAUACUGGCAGGCAGGGAAAGCAGACAGGAGUCAGCUCAGUGUCCAUGUCGAGGCUAGAAUCCUUAUGAGAGCAGGGCUUAUAACUCUAUUCCUCAUUUGCUCAUCAUUGGUGCCUCCUCCAGUAUCCGCCAGGUGGGCAGAACUCAGAAUAUUUCUAAUGGUGGAAUUUAUUACCUAUAACAUACUUGUAUCAAAUACUUAUUAAUAAACAAUAUCUUUGCAUAAUACUCUACAAUGUACUUGUGUGUGUGUGUGUGUGUGUGUGUGUGUGUGUGUGUGUGUGUGUGUGUGUGUGUGUUCUGUACUUCCAUCCGUGGCUAUCUGAACAUCUUUGUUUGUACAGAUAUAGAAUCAUUUUCUGGUCUUCACUGUUUUGUACCUAUUCCUGCCUCCCGUCAUUCAUUUUCACAUUGUUCUAGAAUUACUGCUUCUCCAUGUCUUUUUGAUUAGAUGAGAGUGUUAAUCCUGAGAUCCAGUCUGGUAACAAGUGUGAGUGUUCAACAUUAUGGUUGUUACUUACAAGCUCAAGGCUUCACAGCAGAUCUUUAUACUCACUUUGUGUAUUCAAACAUUUACUUUUCACUCUAAGAUGAAUUGUGUUCAUGUUUUAUCAUAUGUGAGAAGAUUGGGUAUAAAGAUAAGAAACAUUUAUCAUAUACAAAAGAUAAAAGGAAAGGGACAGAUGGGAGGGGGGAGGCAGGCAGAGAUUUGUUGCAAUGAUGCAUUGGGAGUUAAACAGCGGAAGACCAUAAAUAUAAACUAGUAUUAUUAACAGUUUUCAGCAUUUCUAGAUGUUAUUGGGGGCAGUCUGGAUUUUCUAUCAGAAAUCAUUACUUUCAUAUUUUGGCAAACUGACUCAAACACGAUCUACAUGUAGUUCAUGCCUCAAAGAAUGUUGUUAACCCAUUUACAAACAGGAGAUAAAAUCCAAGAUCUGGCUAUUUCAUCUUAUACACACAAGUAGAAUAAGAGCCUGGAAAGGACUUGAGAACUAAAUGCAGGUCUGAAGACUUUUAGUGCCAACCACAUACUAGCUCGUUCACUUAAUUCCAUGAUUUGCACAAUCCAGUUCCCACUGAGAUACUUCUGUCUCCAUUUGUUCAUGUGAUUCUGAUAUCACACCUCCCUGACUCCAGAAGCAGGCAUGAAAUAUAUGCCUAUUAUAUGCUUUGACCAAGAUAACCCCACCAUGGUCAACCUUUAUUGCUAGGAACAUUAUUCUCCAUUGGUUAAAACUGAGACUAACCAAUGGCAUAUUCACUUGAACUUUCCUGACUAAUGAGGAUGACAUGAACAUCUGAUGGGCUAAACUCAAAACUGUGUGGUUGUUAAAGAACCUACAUUAAGCCUGCAAUCAUUCAUCCCCUAGCUCACAGACUGUGGUUUAUUCUUCUUCAAAGGAAUCUUUGCAUGUUAGUCGUCUGCCUUCAAGAAGUUCUGUUUUUAUAGAGUAUAUGAUUAUGAGUUAUAGCACACAAAUAAUUUUAAAAUAUCUGUUUAUAAUUUUCUGUGUUCUUAAAGGAAGUUAGAGGAAAACAAAUGUAUAUAAUGGAUGAAACUACUAUCUUUAAUUUCACCAAAGUUUACUUAACUUGAAGUUAAGAAAAGUUUAGAUUCCUACCAGCUGAAAGAUUUUUUCAAAGGAAAUGCUGGUUAAAUCUAAACAUG
rnacentral:lncRNA from 1 species